UGGGGAAUAUUGGGCAAUGGGGGAAACCCUGACCCAGCGACGCCGCGUGAGGGAAGAAGGCCUUAGGGUCGUAAACCUCUGUUGUGUGGGAAGAAGAGCGUGACGGUACCACACGAGGAAGUCCCGGCUAACUACGUGCCAGCAGCCGCGGUAAUACGUAGGGGACGAGCGUUGUCCGGAUUUACUGGGCGUAAAGGGCGCGUAGGCGGUCAUUUAAGUCAGCUGUGAAAUGGUUUGGCUUAACCGGAUCAUGCGGUUGAAACUGGAUGACUGGAGUGCUGGAGAGGCAAGUGGAAUUCCCAGUGUGGCGGUGAAAUGCGUAGAUAUUGGGAAGAACACCGGUAGCGGAGGCGACUUGCUGGCCAGCAACUGACGCUGAGGCGCGAAAACCAGGGGAGC
rnacentral:rRNA from 1 species